GGUCCUACGGGAGGCAGCAGUAGGGAAUAUUGGACAAUGGGGGCAACCCUGAUCCAGCAAUGCCGCGUGAGUGAUGAAGGCCUUAGGGUUGUAAAGCUCUUUUACCCGGGAUGAUAAUGACAGUACCGGGAGAAUAAGCCCCGGCUAACUCCGUGCCAGCAGCCGCGGUAAUCAACGCA
rnacentral:rRNA from 1 species